ACAAUGACUCUCGGCAACGGAUAUCUCGGCUCUCGCAUCGAUGAAGAACGCAGCGAAAUGCGAUACCUGGUGUGAAUUGCAGAAUCCCGUGAAUCAUCGAGUUUUUGAACGCAAGUUGCGCCCGAGGCCAUCAGGUUGAGGGCACGCCUGCCUGGGCGUCACG
rnacentral:rRNA from 1 species